rnacentral:rRNA from 1 species
GUUGUAUAGUCAAGUAAUGAAGUGCACAUGGUGGAUGCCUUGGCAGUCAGAGGCGAUGAAAGACGUGACAGCCUGCGAAAAGCGUCGGGGAGGCGGCAAUAUCCUGUGAUCCGGCGAUAUCUGAAUGGGGAAACCCACUUGUCAUAAGACAGGUAUCGUAAAUUUAUUUACGAGGCAAACCGGGAGAAGUGAAACAUCUCAGUAACCCGAGGAAAAGACAUCAAUAGAGAUUCCCCUAGUAGCGGCGAGCGAACGGGGAGGAGCCGACUGAUUAUAAUUUAGAGGAAUGACUUGGAAAGGUCAAUCGUAGAGGGUGAUAAUCCCGUACUCGAAAGGUUAUAAGAAGCAUAUUAAGUAGGGCGGAACACGAGAAAUUCUGUCUGAAGAUGGGGGGACCAUCCUCCAAGGCUAAAUACUCCUGACUGACCGAUAGUGAACCAGUACCGUGAGGGAAAGGCGAAAAGAACCCCUGUGAGGGGAGUGAAAUAGAACCUGAAACCGUGUGCAUACAAGCAGUCGGAGCAUCAUUUAUGGUGUGACGGCGUACCUUUUGUAUAAUGGGUCAGCGACUUAUAUUCUGUAGCAAGGUUAACCGAAUAGGGGAGCCGUAGGGAAACCGAGUCUUAAUAGGGCGUCUAGUUGCAGGGUAUAGACCCGAAACCGAGUGAUCUAUCCAUGAGCAGGUUGAAAGUGACGUAACAGUUACCGGAGGACCGAACCCACUGUCGUUGAAAAGCCAGGGGAUGACUUGUGGAUAGGGGUGAAAGGCUAAUCAAACUCGGUGAUAGCUGGUUCUCCCCGAAAGCUAUUUAGGUAGCGCCUCGGACGAACACCAUUGGGGGUAGAGCACUGUUUCGGCUAGGGGGUCAUCCCGACUUACCAAACCGAUGCAAACUCCGAAUACCGAUGAGUGAUAUCCGGGAGACAGACGGCGGGUGCUAACGUCCGUCGUCAAGAGGGAAACAACCCAGACCGCCAGCUAAGGCCCCAAAUUCCUAGUUAAGUGGGAAACGAUGUGGGAAGGCACAGACAGCUAGGAGGUUGGCUUAGAAGCAGCCACCCUUUAAAGAAAGCGUAAUAGCUCACUAGUCGAGUCGGCCUGCGCGGAAGAUGUAACGGGGCUCAAACUAGGAGCCGAAGCUGCGGAUUUAAUUGUUUCAAUUAAGUGGUAGGGGAGCAUUGUGUAAGCCUGUGAAGGUGUGUUGUAAAGCAUGCUGGAGGUAUCACAAGAGCGAAUGCUGACGUGAGUAACGACAAAACGGGUGAAAAGCCCGUUCGCCGGAAGACCAAGGGUUCCAGUCCAACGUUAAUCGGGGCUGGGUGAGUCGACCCCUAAGGCGAGGCCGAAAGGCGUAGUCGAUGGGAAAUCGGUUAAUAUUCCGAUACUUGUUUAUGAUGCGAUGGAGGGACGGAGAAGGUUAUGCCAGCUUGGCGAUGGUUGUCCAAGUGGAAGGAUGUAGUUAGGUUUAGUAGGCAAAUCCGCUAGACUAUUAAUGAGAUCUGAUAGCAAGCUGUACUUGUACAGCGAAGUGGCAAAUACCCUGCUUCCAGGAAAAGCUUCUAAGCGAUAGUCAUAAAGAAAUCGUACCCUAAACCGACACAGGUGGUCAGGUAGAGAAUACCAAGGCGCUUGAGAGAACUCUGCUGAAGGAACUAGGCAAAAUGGUACCGUAACUUCGGGAGAAGGUACGCUGCCGAUGGUGAGUAGUCACGCACUACAAAGCUAUUGGCAGUCGCAGAUACCAGGCCGCUGCAACUGUUUAUUAAAAACACAGCACUCUGCAAACACGAAAGUGGACGUAUAGGGUGUGAUGCCUGCCCGGUGCUGGAAGGUUAAUUGAUGGGGUUAGCGUAAGCGAAGCUCUUGAUCGAAGCCCCAGUAAACGGCGGCCGUAACUAUAACGGUCCUAAGGUAGCGAAAUUCCUUGUCGGGUAAGUUCCGACCUGCACGAAUGGCAUAAUGAUGGCGGCGCUGUCUCCAGCAGAGACUCAGUGAAAUCGAAAUCGCAGUGAAGAUGCUGUGUACCCGCGGCUAGACGGAAAGACCCCGUGAACCUUUACUACAGCUUUACAUUGAACUUUGACCUUACCUGUGUAGGAUAGGUGGGAGGCUUUGAAGCAGGCACGCCAGUGUCUGUGGAGCCAUCCUUGAAAUACCACCCUGGUAAUGUUGGGGUUCUAACUCAAGCUUAACAGAGCUGAGGACAAUGUAUGGUGGGUAGUUUGACUGGGGCGGUCUCCUCCUAAAGAGUAACGGAGGAGUACGAAGGUGCGCUCAGAACGGUCGGAAAUCGUUCGAAGAGUAUAAAGGCAAAAGCGCGCUUAACUGCGAGACCCACAAGUCGAGCAGAUACGAAAGUAGGUCUUAGUGAUCCGGUGGUUCUGUAUGGAAGGGCCAUCGCUCAACGGAUAAAAGGUACUCUGGGGAUAACAGGCUGAUACCGCCCAAGAGUUCAUAUCGACGGCGGUGUUUGGCACCUCGAUGUCGGCUCAUCUCAUCCUGGGGCUGAAGCAGGUCCCAAGGGUAUGGCUGUUCGCCAUUUAAAGAGGUACGCGAGCUGGGUUUAGAACGUCGUGAGACAGUUCGGUCCCUAUCUACCGUGGGCGUUGGAAAUUUGAGAGGAUCUGCUCCUAGUACGAGAGGACCAGAGUGGACGAACCUCUGGUGUUUCGGUUGUGACGCCAGUCGCAUUGCCGAGUAGCUAUGUUCGGAUGGGAUAACCGCUGAAAGCAUCUAAGCGGGAAGCCCACCUUAAGAUUAGAUUUCCCUAAAGAGCCGUUGUAGACUACGACGUUGAUAGGUUGGGUGUGGAAGCAUAGUGAUAUGUGUAGCUAACCAAUACUAAUUGCUCGUUUGGCUUGACUAUACAACGCCUAA